UACGAAGGGGGCUAGCGUUGCUCGGAAUCACUGGGCGUAAAGCGCACGUAGGCGGGCCUUUAAGUCAGGGGUGAAAUCCCGGAGCUCAACUCCGGAACUGCCUUUGAUACUGGAGAUCUUGAGUCCGGGAGAGGUGAGUGGAACUCCGAGUGUAGAGGUGAAAUUCGUAGAUAUUCGGAAGAACACCCGUGGCGAAAGCGGCCACCUAGCCCGCACCUGACGCUGAUGCGCGACAGCGUGGGGAGCGAACUGG
rnacentral:rRNA from 1 species